rnacentral:rRNA from 1 species
UACAGAGGAUGCAAGCGUUGUUCGGAAUUACUGGGCGUAAAGCGCGCGUAGGUGGUCUAGCGUGUCUGGUGUGAAAUCCCUUGGCUCAACCAAGGAAGUGCGCCAGAAACUGCAAGACUUGAAUUCGGGAGAGGAUGGUAGAAUUCUCAGUGUAGAGGUGAAAUUCGUAGAUACUGGGAGGAACACCGGUGGCGAAGGCGACCAUCUGGACCGACAUUGACGCUAAAGUGCGAAAGCGUGGGUAGCAAACAGG